UUUAGUUUGCUUGCAACUAAAGAUGGCGACCGGCGCACGGGUGAGUAACACGUAUCCCAUCUACCGAUAACUCUGGAAUAGCCUUUCGAAAGAAAGAUUAUUACCGGAUAGUAUACGAAUAUCGCAUGAUAUUUUUAUUAAAGAAUUUCGGUUAUCGAUGGGGAUGCGUUCCAUUAGUUUGUUGGCGGGGUAACGGCCCACCAAGACUACGAUGGAUAGGGGUUCUGAGAGGAAGGUCCCCCCCAUUGGAACUGAGACACGGUCCAAACUCCUACGGGAGGCAGCAGUGAGGAAUAUUGGUCAAUGGGCGCAGGCCUGAACCAGCCAAGUAGCGUGAAGGAUGAAGGCUCUAUGGGUCGUAAACUUCUUUUAUAUGGGAAUAAAGUUUUCCACGUGUGGAAUUUUGUAUGUACCAUAUGAAUAAGGAUCGGCUAACUCCGUGCCAGCAGCCGCGGUAAUACGGAGGAUCCGAGCGUUAUCCGGAUUUAUUGGGUUUAAAGGGAGCGUAGGUGGAUUGUUAAGUCAGUUGUGAAAGUUUGCGGCUCAACCGUAAAAUUGCAGUUGAAACUGGUAGUCUUGAGUACAGUAGAGGUGGGCGGAAUUCGUGGUGUAGCGGUGAAAUGCUUAGAUAUCACGAAGAACUCCGAUUG
rnacentral:rRNA from 1 species